rnacentral:rRNA from 1 species
GACGAACGCUGGCGGCGUGCCUAAUACAUGCAAGUUGAGCGCUGAAGGUUGGUACUUGUACCAACUGGAUGAGCAGCGAACGGGUGAGUAACGCGUGGGGAAUCUGCCUUUGAGCGGGGGACAACAUUGGGAAACGAAUGCUAAUACCGCAUAAAAACUUUAAACACAAGUUUUAAGUUUGAAAGAUGCAAUUGCAUCACUCAAAGAUGAUCCCGCGUUGUAUUAGCUAGUUGGUGAGGUAAAGGCUCACCAAGGCGAUGAUACAUAGCCGACCUGAGAGGGGGAUCGGCCACAUUGGGACUGAGACACGGCCCAAACUCCUACGGGAGGCAGCAGUAGGGAAUCUUCGGCAAUGGACGAAAGUCUGACCGAGCAACGCCGCGUGAGUGAAGAAGGGUUUCGGAUCGUAAAACUCUGUUGGUAGAGAAGAACGUUGGUGAGAGUGGAAAGCUCAUCAAGUGACGGUAACUACCCAGAAAGGGACGGCUAACUACGUG